rnacentral:rRNA from 1 species
UAGGGAAUCUUCCGCAAUGGGCGAAAGCCUGACGGAGCAACGCCGCGUGAGUGAUGAAGGUCUUCGGAUCGUAAAACUCUGUUAUUAGGGAAGAACAAAUGUGUAAGUAACUAUGCACGUCUUGACGGUACCUAAUCAGAAAGCCACGGCUAACUACGUGCCAGCAGCCGCGGUAAUACGUAGGUGGCAAGCGUUAUCUGGAAUUAUUGGGCGUAAAGCGCGCGUAGGCGGUUUUUUAAGUCUGAUGUGAAAGCCCACGGCUCAACCGUGGAGGGUCAUUGGAAACUGGAAAACUUGAGUGCAGAAGAGGAAAGUGGAAUUCCAUGUGUAGCGGUGAAAUGCGCAGAGAUAUGGAGGAACACCAGUGGCGAAGGCGACUUUCUGGUCUGUAACUGACGCUGAUGUGCGAAAGCGUGGGGAUCAAACAGG